ensembl:lncRNA
GGGCGGCCUGGAGCGGGGAGCUGCGUGCCGCAAGUUUUGCCCGGAGUGCCAAAGUUGGGCUCAGCCCAGGUUCCUGGAAACUUGAGGAGCAAUCUUCUGUGCCUGAAGAAUGCAGUUCUCACCGGAUGUGUGUAUCCUACAUGAAGGGGAACAGAAGCAGGAUCAGCUGGGGUCCAGGAAAGACAACUUCAGGAGAUUUGAGAGCACUCUGGAGUGAACCAGGAGGAAGCCUUGAACUACAAUUGUGUCAGUAAGAGUGGCUGUCCUUGGGAGAUGCUGAAGCUCAGCUUUAUCAUGAACUUUUCUUACACCCCUCAACAUAUGCACAAAGGACUUAAUUUUGUUUGGGAUUCAUGUGGUAUGAAAGAGUCAUGGCUGUAUGGGUUUCUUCCUCCCUUCACUUGAUGUCUGUAUGUUUCCUGCAGUCAGUAAUGAAGUCUGUACAAGGUCUGCUGACAUUUGGUUUGCUUUCAAGAGCUCUGAGUGACAGGUACUGUAAACAUCCUACACUCUCAGCUGUGGAAACUAAGAAAGCUGGGAGAAGGCUGUUUACUCUCCCUGCCUUGGAAAUCAUCUGGAGGGCGAGGAUGGAACGUUGUGAGCUCUGUGUUCAUUGUAUUUCUGACAGCCUGUAUUUCUUAUUUUAUGUUUGGUGUCAGUAAACAAAUAAUAGCAUUAUAUCAUGCCAUCAAGCUCUUGAGUUCUGACUGAGGCUUGAACUCAUAAUAAUAAUUUUAAAAAAGGGCCUUCUGUACAAUACACUUAGCUGCAGUCCUGGCUUGAGGGAAACGCAAAUGGUAGCAGUAACACACAACAAGACCUUCAUCCUUAAAUACUGGGUAAAACAGACCUAUUUUACUGUUUGUUACAAGUUAGUGUGCAUGUUUUCAGGUCCACACAUCAGUGGUGUCUUUUGUUAAAGUCCUCCUUAAAUGUUUGGGUCUUGUGUUCACUCAAUUUAUGUUUUCCUACCUAGAGAGACUAGAAACAGAUGUCUGAAGGCAAAAAAAGGGUUCUCGGGGACUUCAAGUUUCAGUUCCUAUUUGAAGAAAUUGAGAUAUCAACCCCAGCACCGUGCAAUAGCUUGGAAACUCCUGUGACAUCUGACAAGGGACUUCACGGUUCCUGAUGGAACGUGUUGCACGCUCCCUCACAUCCUGCUCUGGCAACAGUAACGCCAUUCAUCCUCCAGCAAGUGGGGCUGGGAGGAAGUCCAGGGAUUAUAGGAUGCAUAAAUUUUUGAAGAUGAGAGAGUUCCUGUGAUUCAUUCCUGGGCUCCAGUGGCCCUGUCUGGACAUCUGAGAUACCUCAGAGAAUCCGCUCAACCUUGAGUUACUCAAUAGCCUUUACUCUUCUCUUGUCCUUUUGAAGAAUGGGUUUGUAGGGACAAGCUGAUAGCAGUCCAUUCCACCUUCAGGAAACCAUAUCUGGUAAAGGAUGGGACUCAUUUCACCUAACGGUAGAGACCAAAUUCUUAGCUAGUUUACAGUGAGAGUCUAGAUUCCUAGCUUAGAAAUACAAGCACUUUGAGACAGGUUUUGUGAUGAGGAGCUGCCUAGGAUGAGUGAGGUGAUGCUACCUGCUUCUUACUUGUGACUGAAGAAGAAACCUGGGUGACUAAUUUGAACUACAGCCUCAGAGGGUAUAUCUACACAGGGAUAAUCUAGGUAUAUCUACACAAGGAAACCAUAAUGAGCCUGCAAGAGAGCAUAGGGGCACAGCCAGGUAUAGCUUUAGUACACUGCCACUGAAAAUGGGAAUGCAGCUUUGCUGCUGCAUUCAGGUCCAAAGCCAUGCCUUGGGGUGGCUGUAGCUAGGCUGUUGGCUGUAGGGUAUACAGCACUUGGAAAACCGUGCAGCAGGUAAACUCCACUGCAACACUCACCAUAUGGUCCGGGCUAUGGAUCACCAAACUACCCCAUCUUGUUUCAAAACCACCCAUUAAUUAGCACAGUGGCUGUGUAAAACCAUUUUAUGAAGUUCAGUGUGGAUUUGCUUAAAUAUUUGCCCUUUUUCUCAGGUGUUUUUUGUUUGUUUGUUUUGUUUUGGUGGGACUUGCCAAGUUCCAUGUUCCUGCUGCACUUUAGGAGUAUUUAGGAUCAUUAGCCUUAAGCUUAACGUGAUCUUUUCUGGGAGGGUUGUGCAAAGCCUGCAACAGACAUACUUCCCUCUCAGGGAGCUAUUUAUGUCUCUUUAGAAAUCCUCAGGCCAAACUGAAGACACCCAUUUCCUCUUUGUGGCAAUAGAAGUUCCCCAGGGAAAGUCCCGGGGCAUUGGCCCUGAGCUGUCAAACCAAACACACAGCACUGCUUCUUCUGAGUACGUGAUGAAUCUCAUGGUUGUGUGAUGGUCUACAAGCCAACUCAUUUUUCUAUUCCUUUUGUCUUCACCUCAUCCUAUGAUAGCUAUAUGUGUAUGUGUAGACAUAAACACACACAUACAUACUGUAAUUGGGAAUGUGGGUGGGCUAUGCUCCUAGUUGUAUUUUAGAAAGCUAAAAUUAGGCUUCUGGUGUUAAAACUGCAUACAGUGCCCAGAGCUGUGGUUCAGCUUUGCUUUCUCACUGUUUCCUCAGUAACCAUAGCUACUGCACCUUCAUCACUGUGAGCUUAUUUCUCCGAGAUUCCUUCUUUUAGAAUUACUGGUGUAAUUUCUUACAAAUACCAGCGGAAAGCUCCCAUAAUGAACACCCCUCUCUUCCUCUGGCCUCAAUCCCUUUCCUGGCCUAACUUUUCCACCCGUAAAUAAAACCUGCUCCCAGUUUGCUCUGUGCUUGGUUUCCCACCAAACAAAAUUGGUUAGUCACCAAUUUGCCUGUACUCCUUUUGGUUGAUGAGAGCCCUUGAUGCCACCUGUGUCUAACCUCAAGAAAAUAACUAGUGCUCCUGGCUCCUGCUGAGUAUGGUGAUGCUCAGCAGUAAAGCUUAAAAGAUUGAUUAUCCUGAGUCAUUUUCACCAGCUACCAGAGCUGCUAGUAUUUUUUAAAAAUAUAUACUCACAGUGCCUCUCUUCAUAAAAAGUAUGCAAGGAUUUCAGGUCUUUGGCUAGCAGGGGAGCAUAAAUCAUCACAGACACUGUGAUGCUGAUGAUUUGUAUUCUCGUAGCACCUAUUCCAUAGUUCUGAACAGCUACAAAAUACAAGGCAUUCCCUUGCCCCAGAUGAUGGAUAAUCUUGGCAUAGAAGAGGGAAAAUAGCAGAUGGAUAUAGAUGCAUGGGGAGAUACAGUCGGUCUGGGUAGGGAUGAUGCCAGUCUUAGCAACUGUCUAACUGCAGUUGAAUUUUUGAGGCUUUAUGACUGGAUCAUUUCAAAGGACAGAUACAACAUAAGGAUGACUGUUAUUGUGCUAUCAUAAAAGAAAAGGAGGAAUAUUUUGUAACAUAUCUAAUAAGUAAGGAAAGUCAUUCCUUUUUUGUGUGAUACCUGUUUACACUGUGGACUUCUACGUGAAUAACUCACUGCUGUAGUUGUCACAAUCCAAACCAAUGCACUGCCAUAAAAACAAAGGCUAGACCAUGACACUUUAUUAUUAUUAUUAUUAUUAUUAUUAUUAUUAUUAUUAAUUUUGACAUAGAACAUGGCUGUCAAAAAUGCUCUGCCUAGGUGAGCAGAAUCCAGUUUAAGAUCAAUGCCUUAGUGCAGGUGACUAUAGCUCUUGGUAGUGCUGCAUACUCCCAUUUCAGUGAGUGUAGAGGGCCUCAGCUAAACAGCCAUCAGCUGUCUGCUCUGCAGUGAGUCAAAUCAUUCUUAGGCUCCCUUAGCUGCAUUGGUUAGGUUGUCAUUGACUAUAACAGAUCUUGUUGGUUAGAUUUCCCACUGAGUGUCUUGGAGCUUGGAGGCACAGCCUAAAUUUCCAACCUGUUCCAUCCUGUUGUCCAAUUUCAGGUGGUCUGCUCAAAUGUAUCUCCCAAAUGAGAUGUCUCCAGCUUGGCCAAUAGAGUAUGCUUUUUAGAUGUAGGUUUACUGUAAGAUAAGUAUCAUAUCUUGCUGUGCUGGACAUCUCUGAUUCCUCUGAAUACCUCAGACGUCACCAGACAUCAGAGUUUGGAUGACUAAUUCAACUGUCCUUGCCCUUUAAUGCUUAAGAAGCCUGCUCAGAGCCUGCCAUCAUGAUGUAUGUCUUCACGUUGGUAGUCUCAAGAGCUGGUGUAUGAGCAGUGGCUAAAGGAUGACUUGGUAGCUAUCUCUUUCCUAGUGUUGGAGGAAUGCUCAGCCUAGAUCUAUGCAGAGGUAGCAUCCCACUAGGGACAAAGAAUUUGAUGUGGGAGUGAAAGAAAGCUAGUAGGCAGAGAUCCCACACAGCAUGUUCUCAGUUAAAUGCUUCAGGUUGCCAUGGCUUUUACUACAAUACACUGUCAAUGCUGUAUUCUUAUUUUGAAUGUCUUGUCAUGCAUGUCACAUGAACUGAUCGCUGUCUCUGCACUUUGUACCAGUGACUCAGCUCAGCAGGGAACAGAUACAGCAGGAGCUACCCAUCAGGUAACAGCAAUGUGGCAUCACUGGCAUAGGGGUGCAGUGGGCUUUCUGUAGACUGGGUGCAAACUUUUUCCCUGACACCAGGCAAACUCACGAGCUGCCAGACUCCGUGGUUUGUGCCCUCAUGACAGGGCUGUGGUGUUGAUGUGCCUUUCACUUGCUGUAGUACUUCACAGACCAGGUGAUGGCACCUCACAGAUCUAUGCCGGCGUCUAACAGGCACACAAGGUCAACCUUAGGGCUAGGAAACUAAGAGAUCCAUGCUUUGGUCCUGCAUCUUGUGCGUACAGCCCACUGAGGUGAAGACACAUCAUUUUCUUGGUGUUACCAACCUCAUCCACCCUUCUUCACUCUCUAUGCUCAUUUUCCAUGUUAUUUUGUUGCAUUUUGCAUUUAGUUUUGUGGGUAAACAAUGGUACUGGACUCAUGCACGCUAUCUGACUUGCACCAGUGCUAACACGAGCUGAUCCCAAGUGAGUUACUCAAGGUCAAGGAUGUAGCUUGCUUUCUCUGGUUUUGUACACAGGGCUGUACAAUAAGUCCUUGACUGGGACAAGCAACUUGCUUUAAUACAAGAAAAAAGUUGUUUAUUUGCAAGGAGAGCAAGACUGAUGCUGCUGUUAUGAAAAGCAGGCAUGAGGAAGGAUGUAAAUUUUUGUUCACAUCUAAACUGUAUGAUUUUCUCUAUAUUGUUAUAUUGAUUAGCUUUGCUAACCUUCUCCACUCUUGGAGGAGAUAAAUGCUUGUGGUAGAAGAAUUCUUGGUUACUUCAGCAUACACCUCUUUUGCAAAUGAAAGGAAGUGUUAGAGAAUGAAGAAGCAGCCCUGCAUCAGUGUAUGAAACUGUGUUACAUGCAGAGACAUCCACAGAGGACCAGAACUGUCUGUGUUGGUUUGUUGCCGUGCAGAGAAGCUGCAAUUAUAUUAAUCUAUCCUUUUACUGAAGUGGAAAUAGGAAUACUUUUUGAUCAAAGAUUACAAAGACUGCUUUUAAAUGUCAGUUUUUAAAGGACAUUAGCUAUUAAGAGAUGUACUGGAUAGUGUCCCCUUGGUUUUGAGUAUAGUAUGCAAAAAUAAGAAUGUAAUGGCUCCUCGUGGCAGGCUGCAUUUAGACUUCGUGGUGGUUUGGUGCUAACUCAGAAAAUCAGAACAAAACUUUAAUUUUUUGUACGUGCAGAGCUGCAGUGAUUCCACAUGCAUUCCUUUCCAUACUACACCUGUCUUACAGAGCAGACAACUUGUGAGGUAUCCUGAUUCCAACAUAUACAUAAUUCUGGAAAAAUAAAAUAAAAAAGAUAUUUUUGAUACUAUUUAUGUAGCAGCUUUACUAAAAUUUACUCAGAAUGGUGUCCUUGGGAAAGCACAAUUUUAACCACGUGAAAGGUUGAAAGAGUUUACUAAUCCCAAGAGAAAGAAACUACAGAAACUUGCCAAAUUUAGUUGUUUUAAUUAGAGAUAUUACAGAAAACAGUACGUCAUUUUCUUCCAGAGAAUCAGUGUUCAUUUACUUACAGGAAGGGUAAAAGGUUAUGAAACUUUCCUGAAAGUAUACAAAUACAUUGCAUGAGGAAGACCUUGAAGUUUGUGAAGCAAAGGCAGCACCCUUAGACUAUGUCAUGCCUGGCACUUCUUGUAAAUGACCACUUGGAGUGAUUGCUCCAAGGUGUUGUAAACUGGUUGGGAUGAAGUUGAGGUUCUUCACGAUGGCUCUGUAUGGUGCUGUGUUUUGGAUUUGUAGCUGAAACAGUGUUAGCACACCAAUGGGUUGGUGCUAAGCAGUGCUUGCACAGUAUUAGAACCUUCUCUUUUUCCCACUCAGCCCCCACAGGAAGCGAGUGGGCAGGAGAGUGGGAGGGCAGCACAGCUGGGACAGCAGACCCAAAUGAACCAAAGAAAAGCUGAGGUAGGAGAAGAAAGGGUGGGCCAAUGUUCAGAGACUGGCAGGACAUUGGUCUGCCUGUGCAAUCUCCUGUGUUUCACUUCUAUUAUUCUCUUCCUUUACCUAUUAAAAUGUCUUUCUCUGAACCCACAGGCUCUGUCACUUUUGUUCUUCCUAUGUUCUCCUUCCUUCCUACUAGAUGAAAGGAAUGAGCAAGCAGGCCGCCAUGGUCCUUUUUGAUGCCUAGCAUGGGGCUUGAGAGGUUUCAGACAAGGAGAGAAUGGCACCUUCUCUUUCUCCUCUGGGACAGAAGUUGCCAGUCUUGUGCAAUGACUCUUUAAGUUCUUGGGCAUCCCUGCACAACAAGGGCUGUCACACCAGUGUGGGCCAUGAAUAUGACUUUGUCUUUGCUUAAGAAUAAUCAACUAGCAGGGAAUAUGGCACAGGAAUCUGCUCAGAAGCAGCCUGGGUGACAAAGAGGGAAAGACAAUCUGGAUUCUGUCCUAGGUCCGGCUAGGAUGGAGUUAACUCUCUUCAUAGCCACCUAUGUGGUGCAGUGCUCUGGAUCUGUGACUAAAGCAGUGCUGGUAGCACCCUAAAACCAUACAGCAGCUGGUAUGCCAACACAGUUGGACAUCAAAGUGCCAUCAGGUCUCCAAAGAAGUAUCUCCAAAGGACUGAACCAAAACCAAUGGGAAUUCAGGACCAUCUUUAAGCAUACGUCAGUGUGUUCCAGGCCAUCCUGGUAGGGCCCUGUUUACUGAUAGUUUUCAUCGGCUCCUUGUGCCAUCUUGUAAUUUACAGAUUAACCUAAAGAGUCCUCUUUUGCAGUGGGACACCAGUAGUGGUGGUAAUACUUGAUUAUCAGGUGUGUAAUAUAACUUCCUAAUUAAGAAACUGGUGCACUUGGGUCACUAGUGCUCGAAACGGUCCUUAUGCUUUGUUUUGCAGUUUGUGCUGUACUUUUGCAGCCAUAUAAACCUGUAGGUGAUAACAUCAUAGUUAGCUUACAAUAAUUUAUGCUUGGAUGAAGUCCUGAAGCUGUACUGCUAUAAACAAAAUCCCACAGUUGGCUGUAUUUUGAAUUUACUAGCCAUCUCAGACAGAUAGACUAACUCCGGAAGCAUGGAAUCAGUAAUCAGUAAUCAUAGAAUCAUAGAAUCAUAGAAUGGCCUGAGUUGAAAAGGACCAUAAUGACCAUCUAGUUUCAACCCCCCUGCUACGUGCAGGGUCGCCAACCACGAGACCAGGCUGCCCAGAGCCACAUCCAGCCUGGCCUUGAAUGCCUCCAGGGAUGGGGCAUCCACAGCCUCCUUGGGCAACCUGUUCCAGUGCGUCACCACCCUCUGUGUGAAAAACUUCUUCCUAAUAUCCAACCUAAACCUCCCCUGUCUCAGUUUAAAACUAUUCCCCCUUGUCCUAUCACUAUCCACCCUCGUAAACAGCUGUUCCCCCUCCUGUUUAUACGCUCCCUUCAAGUACUGGAAGGCUGCAAUGAGGUCUCCCCGGAGCCUUCUCUUCUCCAAGCAUCAGCAAAUACAUUACAUUCUCAAUUAAUUCACUACUGCAGGUCUUGUGAAGGGCUUGUUUCUGCCUAUGUUUAAAGGAUGCUUCCUUUUUUUUUAACAAUGCAUUUUGUAAAAGUAGUACAGAGUCCAUCUGGCAGCAAUUCAUUUCAUUCACUUUUAAGUCUGCUAGCUUAGCCAUCUUGUUUUCCUAAACUUCUCCAGUGGUUAAAGAAGCAAGGACCUUUUCUUGGUCCUUUUUCACUUCUUCACUUUAUCUUUUAUUAGAAGAUAGUGAGAACUGACAGCAGACCUGUAGUGCAAAACAGUCAGUGCUGAGGACCUGGCCCUUACAAUAUGAAUAUUUUGGAGACCUUUUUCUUCUUGAGACUAGCCCUCGUCUACUCCUAUGGACUGAAUGCCCACUGCACCCGGAGUGGAUUAUGUGCACUCCUGUACUUUAUCUUCCAGAUUGUUUUAUCUAAAAAAAUUAGGUUAAUAUGUGCUUUGAGACUGUGUGAAUCAUAAUGUGAACCAAAGCCCAGAAGGUGGAAGGAAUGGAAGGUUAGUGGUAAAAGCAUUCUUCUGAUCCAGACUUACACACUGAUAGAGAUGCACUCUCAAAGAAAAAGAAAGAGAGACUUCUUCAGUCCUAAGUUUAAAUGUUUGUGUUAGGAUUAAGUGAAUAAUGACCUAAAAGUUCCAGUUUCUCUCCAGGAGACUCUGAGCAAGUAGUUAGAGGCACACAUGCUGAAAAUGUCUGAUGUUGCAUGGGAAGCCAACAUCUUCUUUCUGUAUCUGAGAGAGAUGACAGAGAUGUACUUGAGGAUUCCUUUUGAGUUCUAUUUUGUUAUGCUUUUUGCUGUUGGGGGUUUUUUUGUUGUUGUUGUUGCUUUUUUUUUUUUUAAGUCAAAUUGAAUCACUUCUCAUUUUCCAUCAUUUUCAUAGCCAGUAUGCUAAUCAUGAUUUCUUUCACAAAUUUUAUUCAUUUCCUGAUGUUUUCUUCCUGGCUCAGAACGUCUCACAAACACAUCAACCAUCACUAGCUUUCACCCCACCAUCUGAGCGCCAACCUCAUUAAAUCUCAGGACUGCAUAAAGGAAUACUGAUGCUGGAAGGAGGUUUAAAUCAUAUAUUGGUGGAUAGCUGAUGGCACUGAGAGCCUGUGGUCUAUGAACAUACUGAAUUAUCAAGCUCCUUAAAGAAGUAAUGAAUACUGCUCAUACUAUCUGCAACGAGCAUUCCUUUGUAAUACAGAUGAAAGAACACACCAAAGCCAUGAUAGUGGAGCUGUGUCUGCUGAAAAAACAGUGCUGAGGAUGAUUUCUCCUACUCGACACUUUUAGACCUAAAACUAUGCUGUGGGAUUUGGUUUUGGUUUGUUUGCUUGCUUGCUUUUGGCAUGCUCUCAGAACUACAGAUUAUUUGGCAGCUGAAGGCCAGCUAUGAGUUGUGUUGCAGGGUGACACAUUUCAUGGAAAUUUAAUGCAAAUAGCAAUCAUUCUCAUCAGGAGCAGAAACAGGAGAUCUCUCGCCUUUCUAGCAACUGCAGACACCUGCAUGAGAGUGAACUGCAUGAGAGUGAAUUGCUUGUGUCAAGCCAGCUGCCUUACAAAACAUCCAGCACAAUGGAUGCUUUUUACGACCAACAAACUUAAAAUUACUGCUCUUGUAUGCCUGGAAACCUUUAUUUCAUUUUCAUACUGUUUCCUUUGAAGAAUUUAUUAAUGCAUGCAAACAUGUAGCGUGUUCUUUUAACCUGUGUUUGCUGCAAUGUUUACAUUAUCUCCUGAUCUUAACCUGUAGCUUCCCAUUACGAAGACAUGUUACCAUAAAACACCACAAGGCAAAAAAAUGCCAUCGUUUUAAUGUUCUGCAAGUGUGCUACAAGUAAACUGUGCUGUACUGAACUCGGUCAAAAUACUCAAUGCAUUUUGAGCACACUACCACCAAUAUAUUGGUGGCCCACUUUGCCACACGCAGAAGGACAAUGAUGUGCUUAUUGACGCAUCUCUUUAUUCUGAACAGAGGGAACUCACUUGGAUGCCACUGGUCCAUUCAGCCCGGCCAAACACUGGUUUAAAAAACAGUGAUGUCUUUCCCAAGCACAUCAGAGGCUGCCUGUACUGUACAGAGGCUGCAAAGGGUUCAGGCUGUACUACGGGAUGUUACAAAGAUAAGCAAGCUGAUUUUGGAAUAUUGCACACACUUACCGUAUUCAGAUGAUUUUAGUUACUGCACCAGACUCCUAAAGUGAAUAUUCUUUAGGAUUACUUGUUAAGGCAUAACCCAGCUUGCCCAUAUCAGAAGAGUUUUCUAUACUUUGUUCACUCUUCAGCGUCACCUGCAGUAGUAUUACAGCUCUUCAACUUGCCACCUUGCAUGCUCCAUUCAGGUGACAAGAACACUUAAUGGCACUGAGCAGAUAAAGGGCUGGAGGGCUUUUACAGGCUCUACUAAAGUGCUUUCUUCAGACUAGAAGUGCACAAUACCACGGUGAUAAGGCUGUCCUGUGCUGAUCUAAGGAAGCCUCUGAUAAGGAAUAUAAUAGGAGCAAUAGGUAAGAUUAAAAAAAAAAAAACUUUCAUUCCAAAAACUGUGUAUCUGUGUAUACCAACUGCUUACAGAGUUUUCUCUGAAGCUCAUGUUUGCAAAGUGUUGCAUGCUUCAGCUCCAUCUUAAAUGGUUUCAUGCCACAAACCGUGGGCCAUUUAUUGCUCAUCACUCCAAAGCCAUUGAACUCUUCAGCUGGGCAGUCUGCUCUCUCCAGCCUUCCCACUGAGAAUAAACAAGAAAUUGGCAGGGAUGGGGAGAAGGGGACAUCAAAGAGUGCCAGGAAGGGCCAACUCAGAACAGCCCUACCCUAUGCAGCCAGGGACUGGGCUGGUGUUUUAGUGCCAUGCACAAUAGUUUAACUAUGUGAAUCAGCCCACACAGCUGUAAAAAUCACUGGACCCGUGAUAAGAAAAUGAAAGACAGUACUGUUGAUGGUUUCUGGGUUCGCUUGUUUGCUUUUAUAUCUCACUCUCUGUAUAUCUGCCUUAAUCACAAGCUAAAAGCCUUGUGAAGGAUCAGCGACCUAAAUAAAAACUGCAUCUCUGAUUAAUUUCACCAGCUUUUUUAUUUAUACGGGUUUCGUACAGGUGAUAUACAAAGCACGAUACAGGCUAGGAUAGACAGCAGGUGGUGGCAGUCCCUGCCUGCAGGUAGUCAUCCCACCCACACUGAAUGACCUUGUGCCACCUCCAAGUGGGACUGACUGCUGCGGAGUUUGACAGAGGUAAUGGUGGCAGCCACCUCCAAAUUGUCCAUGGUGAACCACAUGAGAUCCACAAUUGUCCUCCUGAGAGCAAAGUACAGAACUGCACAAAUGUCUAUCAUUUAACAUUGACAUUUUUUACUUUGUAGGAAUCCAAUGAGUUCCAUGAGUCAUG